AGGGAAAAGAGUGUUAUUUGUGUAAUAAUUAAAGCCGGUUUUGGGAAAACACGUCAUUUUAUGUAAAUAUUUGGUGGUUUUCUUUACUGGCAUUAUGUAAUGUUAGAAAAACGAAGACACUUAAGGACAUGGGUUACAAAGAAAAUUUAUGCAUAAGUGUGGUUUUGAAGAGGCGGAACGUAAGGUUAUUUUAUUUAUUGUUUAUUACAAAGUGUUGUAAAAGCCUUUUUCAAGGUUUAUCUUAUAGUGUUUUUUUUAUUAAGUAAUUCCGUAGUUUGUUUGACAAAUUUUAGGGGUGGUUUUGCUUGAGGCGGACCGCGGACUAAACGAUUUCAUUUACUGAAAACUUUUUUUUCCAUAAGUUAUGUGACACGUUAAAUUCGAAUUUGUUUAUUUAUUGGGUAAACAUGACUUAUUGUUUUACUUAAGUGCACUUUCCAAAUGCAGACGUCACCUUUAUUUGUCCACUAGUGAUUUUUUUCAUGAACCAUUAGCAUAUUCUUGUCACUUUCUUACGAUAUUGGAGGUCAUUUUACAAUCACUUUGAAAAAAAUCGGUGGCAUAAUUUUUUUUUAACCGGAAAUGGCCGGAAAAGACUGAUUUGAUUUAGGUUCUUUGCACAACGGUGACCUGCUAGGUUUAAUUUAAUUGAUUAACAAAUUAGUGAAUUGGAAUUGAGCGAAACUGGGCUUUAAAAGUCUGCUGUAUAAAAAAUUAAAGUUCCGACCCUUUCAUAAUAAUAAAACGUUCAAUUUUUUCUUAAUGAGUGAAUUGAUUAAAAUACCCUACGAAACAACGAAAAAAAAUUUUUCACACAAUAAUUUUAUAAAAUAAAAAUAAAUGAAAAAGUCUUGACGUGGUUAAAAUAAAUCGUACUCACCUGUUCUACUUGAUCUCUUCUCUAGACCGAAGUUGGAACUAACCAACCCACUCUUUAUUUCUGUGCAUUUUACUUUCAAAUUAUAGUUUAAUUGAAAGUGGGGGAUUUUACAAUGUCUAAAUUAAAUAUCAUGGUACGCACCGUUAACGAAGCUUGACACGAUGAUAAAUUUUGCUACUUGUCUUCGUAUAUUUUUUUCUAAAUUUAAACAUUUAUUGAUGAUUUUUCGAAUGAUAAUAAUGUGAAAGGGAAGUUGCGAUUUCGUGUCAAGGCGUUUAUCUUCAAGUGAGCAUUUUUUGCUUGCUUUGAUUAUUGUCGGGUUACUCAACUUACAAAAACCGCAAAAAUUAAACCAAUCUUUUAGCAUUAAUUAAUUAUUGCCGUUCUGCUCGAGUCGCUUUUAUUUUUGUUUGAAUCACCUUGUGAAAAUCUAACAUUGAAAACUGAAGCCGUCCUUGAUCUCAAAAAUUGCAUUUUAUUAAUUACGUGUUAAUUAUUUAAAAGUCAUCGAAGACGAAACGAGUUGGGCGAGUGCACCGAUCGGUGUCACAUUUGUGUCGCAAUCGCUUAGAAUCGAGAGACAACUUUCACGCAAUUUCAUGUAAAUUUGCUCCGUUUUUACGCAAAUCGGCAAACAUCUUCAGCGAGGGAUUUAUUGCAAGAACCUUGCAUGUAGCGGCAAUUAAUUGCUGCUUAAUGUGGCCGUUAAUAAUGGUCAUUGCAUAGAUAAAAGCCUUAAACAAGUGACAUUUGCAAGGGUAUCAUAAUUAUUGCUAUUAAGUGUUACGUGUGUUACUCAUUUACAUUUACGGCUUCCGCCCUCGGAAAAAAAUACACGUUUUGUCUUUUUAAUCGCUUUAUUUAAACGGGACUUGGAAUUGUUCUGAUGGGUGAGCCGUCGGGUCCUCGUGGUAUUAGCCCACGACGCGUGUAGCCACAGGCUGCCAUGAGCAAAUGGACCGCAGCCUCGACUGUCUUUUGGACGUCUUUGGGGGACCCUAUGGAGGGAUUCACUUCCACCAAGUCCAUCGCCCCCAGACGGCCCGUCUUGUGGAUUUGUUCCACCAGGUGGAUGCCUUCACGCAGAGUUAGGCCUCCACGGACUGCAAACAAAUAAUUCUGAAAUUAUGGAUAUUCGUAGUUGCAAACAUGUGUUUAUGCAUUUUUCUUUAUUAGUGUUAUCGCUAAUUUCCAGUGAACGCCUUUUUUGAAAUUGCUACAUGACUGGCGGAAAAUCUAUACAAAUUACUUACUGUAAUUAAGAGGUAAAAUUAAUUGCAACCCUUUGCAACUGCAGGAUUUGAUAAAAACUGUUUUUUCGUUCAGAUUGUUUAUUGGUGUUUAUGUAAUAAGAAUAAAAUGCGAUUCUUUAUCGA